AGAACGCUGCGGCGUGCCUAAUACAUGCAAGUCGAACGAACUCUGGUAUUGAUUGGUGCUUGCAUCAUGAUUUACAUUUGAGUGAGUGGCGAACUGGUGAGUAACACGUGGGAAACCUGCCCAGAAGCGGGGGAUAACACCUGGAAACAGAUGCUAAUACCGCAUAACAACUUGGACCGCAUGGUCCGAGUUUGAAAGAUGGCUUCGGCUAUCACUUUUGGAUGGUCCCGCGGCGUAUUAGCUAGAUGGUGAGGUAACGGCUCACCAUGGCAAUGAUACGUAGCCGACCUGAGAGGGUAAUCGGCCACAUUGGGACUGAGACACGGCCCAAACUCCUACGGGAGGCAGCAGUAGGGAAUCUUCCACAAUGGACGAAAGUCUGAUGGAGCAACGCCGCGUGAGUGAAGAAGGGUUUCGGCUCGUAAAACUCUGUUGUUAAAGAAGAACAUAUCUGAGAGUAACUGUUCAGGUAUUGACGGUAUUUAACCAGAAAGCCACGGCUAACUACGUGCCAGCAGCCGCGGUAAUACGUAGGUGGCAAGCGUUGUCCGGAUUUAUUGGGCGUAAAGCGAGCGCAGGCGGUUUUUUAAGUCUGAUGUGAAAGCCUUCGGCUCAACCGAAGAAGUGCAUCGGAAACUGGGAAACUUGAGUGCAGAAGAGGACAGUGGAACUCCAUGUGUAGCGGUGAAAUGCGUAGAUAUAUGGAAGAACACCAGUGGCGAAGGCGGCUGUCUGGUCUGUAACUGACGCUGAGGCUCGAAAGUAUGGGUAGCAAACAGGAUUAGAUACCCUGGUAGUCCAUACCGUAAACGAUGAAUGCUAAGUGUUGGAGGGUUUCCGCCCUUCAGUGCUGCAGCUAACGCAUUAAGCAUUCCGCCUGGGGAGUACGGCCGCAAGGCUGAAACUCAAAGGAAUUGACGGGGGCCCGCACAAGCGGUGGAGCAUGUGGUUUAAUUCGAAGCUACGCGAAGAACCUUACCAGGUCUUGACAUACUAUGCAAAUCUAAGAGAUUAGACGUUCCCUUCGGGGACAUGGAUACAGGUGGUGCAUGGUUGUCGUCAGCUCGUGUCGUGAGAUGUUGGGUUAAGUCCCGCAACGAGCGCAACCCUUAUUAUCAGUUGCCAGCAUUAAGUUGGGCACUCUGGUGAGACUGCCGGUGACAAACCGGAGGAAGGUGGGGAUGACGUCAAAUCAUCAUGCCCCUUAUGACCUGGGCUACACACGUGCUACAAUGGAUGGUACAACGAGUUGCGAACUCGCGAGAGUAAGCUAAUCUCUUAAAGCCAUUCUCAGUUCGGAUUGUAGGCUGCAACUCGCCUACAUGAAGUCGGAAUCGCUAGUAAUCGCGGAUCAGCAUGCCGCGGUGAAUACGUUCCCGGGCCUUGUACACACCGCCCGUCACACCAUGAGAGUUUGUAACACCCAAAGUCGGUGGGGUAACCUUUUAGGAACCAGC
rnacentral:rRNA from 2 species